ensembl:lncRNA LOC102554815 uncharacterized LOC102554815
CACCCGCCCACGUGGCCAGCGCCCCGCCCUCUGAGUUCCGCCCAACCGGGCAAGACCCGAGCUGCUCCUGAGCGUGCGCAGAGACAAGGAGCGCCUGAGCUCGCAUUGAGUCCGCUGGUUUCCUUCUUGGACCAACAGAACGCGUACGUUGGUGUUCCCGGUUGUCAGUUGUAGAAGAACAGAGAAAUAAAGGACCCUGAGACGUCCGCUGCCGCGGUAGCGGCAUUUUUCUCUUCCUCACAAAACAGUAUUGUAAAAACCUUACUGUUAAGAGUGAUUGGGGUGGUUUGGUUGGGCUAGAGUCAGGACAGAGGUGUCAAGCUGCAACUACAGCAGAUCUGGGACUUAAGGAGUUUGUCUCGGGCUGCUCAGCCUCCCAAGUGCGAGAACUGCAGACGCGAGCCACCACACCUGGCUUUCAAGGAACUUUUCGGUUUCAUGAGGUCCCAUUCACUAACUGGUGUUCUCAGUGUUUGCCCCGUCUGUGUUCUACUCAGUCAUCUCCUACGGCAAUGCACCCAAGCUUAGUCACCACUUUCUCCUCUGUCAGGUCCGGUGUAUCCGGUUUUCUGUUGAGAUCUUCGAUGCACUUGCACUUGAGUUCUGCAGGAUGAUGAGUGUCUCAGUUCUCCAGAUAAAACUUCAAGUACUGUAUUAAAUGGAUAUGAAGAGAACAAACAGCCUUGCUUUGUUCCUGAUUUUAGUGGAGUUUCUUAAAGUUUCUAUCCAUUUUUGGAAAAUAAUUUGAGGAGUAUUGGCAUUAACUCUUCUUUGUGCUCUGGGCUUGUUUUGGUUGAUUUUGAUGACUGCUCUUCAGUAGGAAUUAUAAGUCUGUUUCAAAUGUUUACCUUAUUGUCUUAGUCAAAGUUUGUAUUUCUGCACCAAACAUCAUAACUUGGCCUUCUCCCUUGCAGUUUUAAUAUUUUUUCAGUAUGUUUUGUGUUUUUAUUAUUAUAUGCUGAAAGGACUCUCUAUUUUGGUUUGAUCUAUUUCGUGUUCUGUAUGCUUCUUGUAUGCAUCUUCUUCUCUAGGUUGUAAAAUUUUUCUUCUAUGAUUUUGUUCAAUAUAUUUUCUGAAACUUCAAACUGCUUUCUGUCUUAUUAUGAGGCUUCCAGGACCCACAUGCAAUUUAAAUAAGACACAGAG